UACGGGGGGAGCAAGCGUUGUUCGGAUUUACUGGGCGUAAAGGGCGCGUAGGCGGCCACCGCAAGUCGACUGUGAAAUCUCCACGCUCAACGUGGAGGGGCCGUUCGAUACUGUCGUGACUCGAGUCCGGUAGGGGAGUGUGGAAUUCCCGGUGUAGCGGUGAAAUGCGCAGAGAUCGGGAGGAACACCCGUAGCGAAGGCGGCACUCUGGGCCGGUACUGACGCUGAGGAGCGAAAGCGUGGGGAGCAAACAGG
rnacentral:rRNA from 1 species